GUUUACAUAGACUUGAUUUAAGCAACAAGCAUUAGACUAUAGUCCAUAUCUAGAUCAGAGUAAAAACAAUCCUUGUCUUACAUAGCAUUUUAUAGCUAACAAAUCCUAUGCAUCUUUAAUCAACUGCAAUAUAGGGUGCAUCAAGAUAUAAAAUAUUGCUGAAGUGAUGACAUGAGCACACACAACGUUGGAGGUCAACAAUAUUUGGUUAUGUUCGCCCCUUGCAUUGACAACGAGACACCAUAGAAAAUAUUGCAAACAAAUUUAUCAACGAUGUAACAUUAAAAAUUCAUUUAAUCAUUUCUCUGUUACAUAUUAAAAAUUUUGUAACAAGAGUAAAAUAUCUGUGAUUACGCACAUAAAAUUGCCUUUAUCUAGUGGUUGCUUAGCUCGGGGUUUAACGUAGUUUAAUCGAAAUUGGAGCAACAAGAGAUUAUUCCAAAUAAUAAUGCUGACUAUUGUCCAAUCAGAAAUAACUUGACCUUUUCUUAAAAGAUACACUUCAAGGAAAUUUAAGAUUUUCACGCACGAAUUACGGUAUUCAUCGAUAAUAACAUUAGAAAGACAUGUCAGAUGUGAGAGAAGCAAAA